rnacentral:rRNA from 1 species
UACGUAGGGAGCAAGCGUUGUCCGGAAUCAUUGGGCGUAAAGCGCGUGUAGGCGGCUUGAUAAGUCUGCUCUGAAAGCCCGGGGCUCAACCCUGGGAGGCGGGUGGAUACUGUCGAGCUAGAGUCCGGUAGGGGAGUGUGGAAUUCCCGGUGUAGCGGUGAAAUGCGCAGAGAUCGGGAGGAACACCCGUAGCGAAGGCGGCACUCUGGGCCGGUACUGACGCUGAGGAGCGAAAGCGUGGGGAGCAAACAGG